rnacentral:rRNA from 1 species
UCGUAGACGAACGCUGGCGGCGUGCCUAAUACAUGCAAGUCGAGCGAAUGAUAGGGAGCUUGCUCCCUUGAAUUAGCGGCGGACGGGUGAGUAACACGUGGGCAACCUACCUGUAAGACUGGGAUAACUUCGGGAAACCGGAGCUAAUACCGGAUAAUUUCUUUUCUCGCAUGAGAGGAGAUGGAAAGACGGUUUCGGCUGUCACUUACAGAUGGGCCCGCGGCGCAUUAGCUAGUUGGUGAGGUAACGGCUCACCAAGGCCACGAUGCGUAGCCGACCUGAGAGGGUGAUCGGCCACACUGGGACUGAGACACGGCCCAGACUCCUACGGGAGGCAGCAGUAGGGAAUCUUCCGCAAUGGACGAAAGUCUGACGGAGCAACGCCGCGUGAGCGAAGAAGGCCUUCGGGUCGUAAAGUUCUGUUGUUAGGGAAGAACAAGUACCAGAGUAACUGCUGGUACCUUGACGGUACCUAACCAGAAAGCCACGGCUAACUACGUGCCAGCAGCCGCGGUAAUACGUAGGUGGCAAGCGUUGUCCGGAAUUAUUGGGCGUAAAGCGCGCGCAGGUGGUUCCUUAAGUCUGAUGUGAAAGCCCACGGCUCAACCGUGGAGGGUCAUUGGAAACUGGGGAACUUGAGUGCAGAAGAGGAAAGUGGAAUUCCACGUGUAGCGGUGAAAUGCGUAGAGAUGUGGAGGAACACCAGUGGCGAAGGCGACUUUCUGGUCUGUAACUGACACUGAGGCGCGAAAGCGUGGGGAGCGAACAGGAUUAGAUACCCUGGUAGUCCACGCCGUAAACGAUGAGUGCUAAGUGUUAGAGGGUUUCCGCCCUUUAGUGCUGCAGCUAACGCAUUAAGCACUCCGCC